GACGAACGCUGGCGGCGUGCCUAACACAUGCAAGUCGAACGGACAGGCCCUGCUGUUGUGUGCUGCUCGAGUGGCGAUGGGGUGCGUAACAGGGGAGUAACCUGACCUUAACUUUGGGGUAACUUCAGGAAACUAGUGCUAAUACCGGCUAGGAGCUCCUGCUGCAUGUUGGUGGUUGGAAAGUUUCGGCGGUUGGGGAUGGACUCGCGACUAAUCAGCUUGUUGGUGGGGUAGUGGCUUACCAAGGCAUGGGCGGGUCGCCGACCUGAGAGGGUGACGCGCCCCAAUGGGACUGGGGAAGGGCCCAGAGGCAUACGGGGGGCAGCGGUGGAAAACAUUCCACAAUGGGCCGAAGCCUGAUGCAAGAACUCCGGGUGCGUGAGGACGGUCUUCAGGGUAUAAACCGCUUUCGCCUGUGACGAAGCGUGAGUGACGGUAAUGGAUAAAGAAGCACCGGCUAACUACGUG
rnacentral:rRNA from 1 species